rnacentral:rRNA from 1 species
CACGUAAGGUGCGAGCGUUGUUCGGAAUUAUUGGGCGUAAAGGGCACGCAGGCGGCGCCGCAAGCCUGGAGUGAAAUGCCGGGGCUCAACCCCGGGACUGCUCUGGGAACUGCGGCGCUGGAGUCAGCGAGGGGUAGCCGGAAUUCCAGGUGUAGGGGUGAAAUCUGUAGAUAUCUGGAAGAACACCGAUGGCGAAGGCAGGCUGCCGGCGCAUGACUGACGCUCAGGUGCGAAGGUGCGGGGAGCGAACA